rnacentral:lncRNA from 1 species
CACAUUGCAGGUACAAAUGGCACAGCCAGGGUGAGGUGUUCCUGGCCCCUGCACUUCUCCUGACCCAGGAGAAGUCUGGGUCUUCCUCUUCCACCUGCGGGCAUGGAAAUGCAGCCCUUUUCCUGGUGCCUUUUCUCAGCUCCCUUCUUCCACAAAGCCCAGCCCUGGAUGGUGGCUCUGGCUCUGGUCCUUGUGCUUUUGGCUGUGUCCAUUGGCCUCGGUGUUUAUCUCUUUCGAAAGCAAGCGGCACAGAGCCGAGAGCUGGGUGAAUCCUUGCAGUCCCUGCCCCCAACCCUGGGGAAGUGGUGUCCCUGCGGGAGGGCCUGGUCUGGGUGGGCUCUGGGGGCUUGUGUGCUGGUGGUUUGGGGGGGCUGGAGGAGCAGCUGGAGCCUGGGGUGGGAGUGGGGAGUGCUGGGGCUGGGGCUGCCCUGGGCACGGGACACGGCCGGGAUGGCUGAAAGGAAUGGGGAUCAAGGUGGGUACGGGGAGCGAGCUGUGGUGCUGCCCCACUCUGCACUGAUGCUUCUGGGACAAGGACGUCCUCCACCCAUCCCCAUUCACAUCCCCUUGUGUUUUGGUGGCACGGUGCAGAGAGCUGCACAAGUGUCUGUUCUUCAAGCUAGAAGUCUUGCAAAAUGCUGGCCCUAGGUCUUUGUUAGUGGGGUCGCUACAAGUCUGGGAGCAAGGUGGUCUGUGCCCAUGCAUGAGAGCAAAAAAUUUGGGGUCUAGCCAUCUAGCCAUGGAAGCAGCAUUGGAUUGAAAGUCUCUCCACUCUGACCAUUCAUUCCUUUUGCUUUUUAUAGCAGCCAAAAAGGAUGCAAAGCUGGGUAAGUCUCCUUCCCCAAAGAGAAGGCAUUUGGUGUCUUACCAUGGGCAUACUCCCAUCUGACUGUACAUUGCUUUUAUUUUUCUUUUCCAGUGGAACAGGCUGCAGAGAUAGGUGAGUGUCCAUCCCUGAACUAGAAGAAUUUGCAGUGUAGUCAAUGGAUGAGAAGUUUUUCCCUCUGAUCAUAUAUUCCUUAU